rnacentral:rRNA from 1 species
GCAAGUCGAACGGUUCUUCGGAACAGUGGCAAACGGGCGAGUAACACGUACCUAACCUGCCCUCGAGCGAGGCAUAACUGUGGAGACACAGCUAAUUCCUCAUACGAUCCAUAAAAUGAAAAUAUAUGGAUGAAAGGUUUACCACUCGAGGAGGGGGGUGCGGUCUAUCAGAUAGUUGGUGAGGUAAAGGCUCACCAAGUCUAUGACGGAUAGCCGGUCUGAGAUGAUGUCC